UACAGAGGUCUCAAGCGUUGUUCGGAUUCAUUGGGCGUAAAGGGUGCGUAGGCGGCGCGGUAAGUCGGGUGUGAAAUCUCGGAGCUUAACUCCGAAACUGCAUUCGAUACUGCCGUGCUUGAGGACUGGAGAGGAGACUGGAAUUUACGGUGUAGCGGUGAAAUGCGUAGAUAUCAAGAGGAACACCUGAGGUGAAGACGGGUUGCUGGGCUGACACUGACGCUGAGGAGCGAAAGCGUGGGGAGCGAACAGG
rnacentral:rRNA from 1 species